rnacentral:rRNA from 1 species
GACGAACGCUGGCGGCGUGCUUAACACAUGCAAGUCGAACGGAAAGGCCCUGCUUUUGUGGGGUGCUCGAGUGGCGAACGGGUGAGUAACACGUGAGUAACCUGCCCUUGACUUUGGGAUAACUUCAGGAAACUGGGGCUAAUACCGGAUAGGAGCUCCUGCUGCAUGGUGGGGGUUGGAAAGUUUCGGCGGUUGGGGAUGGACUCGCGGCUUAUCAGCUUGUUGGUGGGGUAGUGGCUUACCAAGGCUUUGACGGGUAGCCGGCCUGAGAGGGUGACCGGCACAGUUGGGACUGGGAUACGGCCCAGACUCCUACGGGGGGCAGCAGGGGGGAAUAUUGCACAAGGGGCGGAAGCCUGAUGCAGCAACGCCGGGGGCGGGAUGACGGCCUUCGGGUUGUAAACCGUUUUCGCCUGUGACGAAGGGGGAGGGGCGGUAAUGGGUAAAGAAGCACCGGCUAAAUACGU